rnacentral:rRNA from 1 species
AGUGAACGCUGGCGGUAGGCCUAACACAUGCAAGUCGAACGGCAGCACAGUAAGAGCUUGCUCUUACGGGUGGCGAGUGGCGGACGGGUGAGGAAUACAUCGGAAUCUACUUUUUCGUGGGGGAUAACGUAGGGAAACUUACGCUAAUACCGCAUACGACCUACGGGUGAAAGCAGGGGAUCUUCGGACCUUGCGCGAUUGAAUGAGCCGAUGUCGGAUUAGCUAGUUGGCGGGGUAAAGGCCCACCAAGGCGACGAUCCGUAGCUGGUCUGAGGAUGAUCAGCCACACUGGAACUGAGACACGGUCCAGACCCCUACGGGAGGCAGCAGUGGGGAAUAUUGGACAAUGGGCGCAAGCCUGAUCCAGCCAUACCGCGUGGGUGAAGAAGGCCUUCGGGUUGUAAAGCCCUUUUGUUGGGAAAGAAAAGCAGCAGGUUAAUACCCCGCUGUUCUGACGGUACCCAAAGAAUAAGCACCGGCUAACUUCGUG